GUGCGCACCGGGCCUGGGGGCAAGCGGGACGGAAGCAAAGCUGGGGCGCCGGGGAGGUGGAAGACGAGCCCCACUCCGGUUACCACCAAAGAACAUGAUUUUGGUCUAGGGGCUCCAGUUUCUGAAGCUGAAAACUACCAGAAUACUCUCCAGCUAGAACGAGAAGUGAGAAACCAAGAUAGAUUCAUCUCGACACUGAAAUUACAGUAAACAAAAAGUUCCCUGCGGGCAGACAUUUGGAUACCUUCAUGAUAGAAAAGGCCCUUUUCUUCAUCCAUUGAUAGUUUGAUAGUGGGCUGGGAAGGAAAGCUGUGUUCCUCCACAUUAGGCAGCAAAUACUUGAUUGAUUUGAUAUUUAGCUUAGUCAAAUUGAAGAUCUCAAACAGACAAAUCAUGGCUUGGAAGAAUAUGUUAGGAAACUCUUGGAUAGUAAGGAGGUGGUAAGCAGUCAAGUAGAUGAUUUAACCAGCCACAAUGAGCAUCUUUGUAAAGAAUUGAUUAAAAUUGACCAACUAGCAGAGCAACUAGAAAAGGAGAAAAAUUUUGUGGUGGAUUCCGCCA
rnacentral:sRNA from 1 species